GGCCGAGUAGGUGGCAAGCUGUAGACUUGUUUACGGGGACCAGCCCCCCCCACCAA
rnacentral:tRNA from 1 species